CCAAGGAGUCUAACAUGUGCGCGAGUCAUUGGGACUUGUACAUGCCCAAAGGCGCAAUGAAAGUGAAGGACGGCCCUCAGCCGUCCGAGUUGGGACCCCGGCACACGACUGUCGGGGGCACCAACGACCCGUCCCGUCCGCAGCGUCGGUGGGGCGGAGUGUGAGCGUACACGUUGGGACCCGAAAGAUGGUGAACUAUGCCUGGGCAGGACGAAGCCAGAGGAAACUCUGGUGGAGGUCCGUAGCGAUUCUGACGUGCAAAUCGAUCGUCAGACCCGGGUAUAGGGGCGAAAGACUAAUCGAACCAUCUAGUAGCUGGUUCCCUCCGAAGUUUCCCUCAGGAUAGCUGGCACUCGUGUGGGAAUCAGUCUCAUCCGGUAAAGCGAAUGAUUAGAGGCCUUGGGGCCGAAACGACCUCAACCUAUUCUCAAACUUUAAAUGGGUGAGAAGUCCGGCUUGCACGACUGAAGCUCGGACGACGAUGAGAGUGCCCAGUGGGCCACUUUU
rnacentral:rRNA from 1 species